UUUUGUUUUGGCUGUCUCUAUUAGCCACAAGAGAUCUGUCUGGUCUGGAGAGCCCAGGGUCUUAUUUUGUAGUUUUAGUUUACAAAUAGUUGCUGCUUACCAUGAACCAACUAGUGGGGCAAAUUGUUCGUGAGACACUAGAAAAGGACAAGAGAUUAUGAAUGAUUUUUUUCUACAUUUCAAAGCAGGAACCAUGAGAAAUAACUCAGAUCCAGACCUGUCUCCACCUGGAUGUCCC